UACGUAGGGAGCAAGCGUUGUCCGGAAUCAUUGGGCGUAAAGAGCGUGUAGGCGGUCCGGUAAGUCCGCUGUGAAAGUCGGGGGCUCAACCCUCGAAUGCCGGUGGAUACUGUCGGGCUAGAGUGCGGAAGAGGCGAGUGGAAUUCCUGGUGUAGCGGUGAAAUGCGCAGAUAUCAGGAGGAACACCUAUUGCGAAGGCAGCUCGCUGGGACGUAACUGACGCUGAGACGCGAAAGCGUGGGGAGCAAACAGG
rnacentral:rRNA from 1 species